rnacentral:lncRNA from 1 species
GUUUGUGGGGUAUUCAUCAAUGGGUUACUUUCACCCAUUGCAUCCCAAAAAUCCCCUUUUUAUUUAGGUAUGGAUUUUAACCUUUUGAGAAAUUAUCCAUGUAAAUCAUGAAUUUAAUCCAUGUAUUCUAAGAAAUUUGAAUUCAAGCCAUGUCAACAUUCCUUCCCAUGUAAUUUAGGUUACUUUAUGUUUUAAAUUUCAAUUACCCAUGUCAUGUUUAAUUGAUUUCAAAUUAAAUCAUCAAGUUAUGAAUUAAACCAUGAAAAUAUGUUGUUCUCUCAGUUUAACACAUUCCCAUGAACAAAUUCAUGUUUCUCACUCAUUCUUGAAAUAUCUUAUGUUUUUGGUCUUUUCACUAUGACUUUAUUUCACUGUUUUAAAUAUUAUUAUCAUAUUUUUGCAAUUAUUAUAUGCUAGAGGGUUAUGUACACCCGAUACCUAUCUGUUUAUACAUGUCUUUAUUCUCAAGUUACAAGGCAGUCAUGCCAUGAUUUUAUUACCAUAUUUAAAAUAUUAUGUUCACGUUGAGCACUCAUCAAUAUAGUACCAUAUUACAUUAGACCCAUAAUAAUACCAGUUUUAUUCAAAUAGGAUUAGGAUUAGGAUUUAGCACCGAGUGAACCUAGGGAUAGGGACUAACCGGCUAGUUAGGACUGAUUCCUCAGUAGCAGUCCCUAAGUUCCAUAACUACUUAGCCAACAUAGGAUUAUAGGAGUCGCCCACAAGUUUAGAACUGGAUCCCUAAUCAUUUGGGACAUCAGCCUUAUGGAUCCACAUCGUUAGCCUUGUGUUAGUACCCGAGGCAAGGUACAAACACCCUUCCAACUAGGGUUAUAGGUUGGAACAUUAUUUUCUUAGAUUGGGGUAUGUCGGUUACGUAAUAACUGCCACAGUUUUAGUUAAUACUCAAUCUACAUUUGUUCAGGUUUGUUUGACCAAGAAAUCAGAUAUUCAGUUAUUUAAUCAAUAAGUUUUAAAGAUUAUUUUAGUACAUGCUUACUUGGUCUUGCAUUCUCAGUUUUACAUGUUCAUGCAACCAUGUUCAGUUUCCACAUAUAUUUCAAUUAGUCUUUACCUCAUGUACCAGUACAUUCAAAAUACUAAUUGCAUACUUUUCUCUUACGCUAUGUUUUCUUAUAACAUAGGUUCGGAUGCAUAAUUUCCCGACUAUCCCUAGACAGCUCAGUAGUUUCUCACAGCAGUAGUGGUGAGUUCUUAUCCAUCGAGGAUGAGAAAUGAUAUGUUAGUUAUUUCAAUAUUUCUUUAUGUUCAAUUAGUUAAAGUUAGGUAGGGGUUUGUCCCAUCAACUCCUUAUAUUUUAGAGGAUUUCAGACAAACAGUCUAUUUCUAGUAUUGAUCAAAUACUUCAGAUGUAUCAUUUUAUAUAUUCUAGUAUUCCUUUUGAUAGAACUUUAUCAAUUUAUCUUUUGCACAUGUUGUUUUGUUAUCAUUUUAUUCAAUGCUCAUAACAGGUACUAGACCAGGGGUUAGUUUGGGGUGGCUUGUGGCCUUAAGCACCAUGUCGCGACAAGUGGGUAGCCUCGGGUUGUGACAAAACUUGGUAUCAAAUCUAGGUUUUAAAGUAUCCUAGGGUAUCUAAAAGUCGCAUUGAGUAGAGUCUUUAGGAAAGUUUUCCUUCUUUCAGUAUUCAUAACAUGCGAAAGUGCAUGUACCCUAUUGAAUUCCUUUUUCUAACCCGUCCUUCAUUCUGUUUACAGAUAAUGCCUCUGUAAUACUCGUGCCUUUUUCCUAGCUAGAAAUCAUCUCAAGGAUGCUAGGACUUACUUUGAAAUGUAAACCUAUCUUUGUACACAUGGUAUUUUUGACAUUUUCACUUUUUAUCACAUGGGAAAUUGAGCUAGCUUUCCAACGGUACCAAUUUUGUCCAAAUCCGACAUCAGACGAGGAAGAUAUGGACGUUUUACUUGGAACUAAUGAAAAUGCCCAGGUAUGAUGGCCAAGUUGGCGGACCGCCACAUAAGUGAUGGACCGUCACUUUGACUGUAACAGCCAAGGCAGUUGAGCCACAUACUGGAUAUGGACUGACGGACGAGUUGACGGACCGUCAAAGUUGUGAUGGACCAUCAUCCAAGCCGUCAACUCUUAUCCAGUGAACCCCAUUUUUGGUCCAUGUCUGACAACUAAGUAACGGACCGUCAAGUGUCUGACGGACCUUUAGUUGGACCGUCACACACCAUGUUCAGUUUAUUUCUAGGUCAUUUUAACAGGGGUAUUUUGGUCACUUACCACUCGCCAAUAUACCCAGAUAAGUCCAAAUUCAGCCAUUUUACUCAUUGUUAUUUCACAAACAAAAACAAAGGUUUCUCUUUAAAUUUAAUCCCCAAGAACAAGACCCAAUACUCUUCAAGAAUCGAAGGAUUUCAAAUCCUUCAAGUUUAAAAACAUCAAGAACCCUGAGUUAGGUAUCCAUAGUGUUCAUCUAUAGAUCUAAUCCGUUCAUAGAGCUCAAGAACCAUGUUUUAAAUACUAUUUUGUGAACUUUUUGUGGUAAUAUGAGCAUUUACAUGUUGAUGAUAGUUGUUUAAGUUUGAAGAUGAUAUCUAGAGGUGUUUUCAUGGAAUAUAUAUGCUUGUUAGUUGAAAACUAUGAACUUUAGGUGGUGUAAAAUGGUGUAAGUUAUGAAACACACCUAUGCCUUAAAGAAUGCAUGCAAGGUGUUCGAUAAAAUGCUUAGGAUGCUAGAAAUUCAUGUUUAUAUGGUUCCAUGAUUUCUAAAUGACAAGUCCAUGUUAGCUAUAUACUUUAAUAUGAAUUCCAUGCUUUUUAUGUGUUUCUAUUAUUGUGGUAUGAAGCAUGUGUGAUAAUGGAGAUAUAAAAUAUGCACAUGAAAUAUAUCUAUUCACCCCCUACCAUGCUUAAUAUAUUGAGGAUCUACAUGAUGUAUAAUAUCCCCUAUUUAUGAUAAUAUGAAUUGUGGACUCCAAUCUUAUGAUUAAGUCAGUCAUGUUGUGUCAGUUUUCUUUCAUCGAGUUCUGGGAGUAUUUAUACCUGAAAACUAUAGUUGUGUGCCUGGAGCCAUGUCAUGUUUCACGAUAUACAAAAUCAAGCCAUGAUUCAGUAGAAUUCAGUCAGUCAUGUGACUCAGGAAACCUCAUGGUCUCAGUCAGUUAUCAGAUAUCAGUAGUAUUCCAUCAGUCAAUGGAAUUCAGUAAGUUCCACUCACGUACAGUUAGUUAAAUCAUGUUCAAUCUCUUUAGAUGGGAGUAGGAGUUAGCACCAAGUGAACCCAAGGAUGGGAACUCACUUGUAUAUGAGGGUGUGAUUCUUAGCAGUCAUCCUUGCAUUAGAAAACUAUGUAGCCAGCAUAGGUUGAGAUAUCACAGCCUAUUAUAUGAAUGUAUAUGAGGUCUAUUAACCUAUUAUAUAAAGGUUCCCACCAUUCUCACUAGAGUUACCUGUUAUAUAAAUAUUGCUCACAUGUUGUCCUUACCAGUGGAGCGGUAUUGAUACCCUUCCACUUAGGGCAGAGAUUGGACCCCAGCUUAGCCAUAAUGGCACAUAUGGGGCAUAUCGAUUAAAGAACUAGCUCCCACAGUUUCAGACUUAGUCUCAGUAAAAGAACUCAGAUAGUUCUCCAGAUAUCAGUAUACCAGGACUGGUAGAUACAUUCAAAUUCUGUUAUAGUGCAGAACUCAGAUAGAUUUAAGACUAUCAGAUACAGUUGUGCAUGUUAUCAGAACUACAAUUUCAGCCAUGUCAGAUAUUAGUAAACCAUGUAUUAGCAUACAUAUCUAGCUAUCAUGUACUCACAAUCUCAGUUACUAUGUAUAUAUGUUUACACUAUUUCGUUCAUAUCAGUCAGCCAGUUAGCAUUGUUCAUGCAUGUAAACCCUUUUGUAUUAUCCUACCUCACUCGUAUACUCAAUACUCCAGUUGUACUGAUGCAUUUGCGCUAUGGUGAUUUCUUUCAUGUUACACCAUAGGUUUAGAGACACGAGCUACAGAUCAGUAGUAGAAUCGUAGAGUUGCAGUGAGUCCUCAUCCAUUCGAGGAUGAUAUUAUUUUAUUUUAUUUAUUAUUUCAGCUCGGUUUUCUUAGAUGGAGUUAUUUGGAGAUAUGUUCCUUCAACUCCUUAUUCAGACAUUACUUAGAGGCUUUCAAAUUCAGUAUUCAGAUUUAGUUUAGAUUUAAUUCAAUUUUCAGUUGUUUUGGGUAUCUUUAACCCAUAUGGAUAUUAUAUUUUGACAGAUUUUUAUUUAGUUGAAUCUUAUGGCCUACAUGUUCAUGUUUUCCACACUAUUAUGUUGUAUAUUGCAGUGUAUAGGUACAUAUAUCAGUCAAGGAUUAGCUUGUGGUCCCUUGGGGUCAUAAGCACCGUGUAGCAUUUUGGUUCAGAUAAUCAGGGCAUUACAAACUUGGUAUCAGAGCCUAAGGUUUAAUAGAGUCCUAGGAAGUCUGAAAGCCAUAUCUAGUAGAGUCUUGUGCAUGGGUGUAUUGCGUGCCACAUUUAUGUACAUGAGGCUAUGAGAUAUUUUAGGAACAGUUUCCCUUCUUUCAGUAUUCAUGUUGUACUAGUGAACAUAAUCUCAUGUUAAACUCUCAGUCUAAUCUAUUUUUCUCUUAUUUCAGAAUAUGCAUCCAAAGAGAAAAAACCAACCAGUUCUUUAGCCCGAAGACCAUUUGGGCGAGCAUGUUUCUCAUGAGGAGUUUAGAGCCAUAUUCACCAUACUUACUCAGUCUAUGGCUGCCCAAAAUGAACGUCCACCAGUUAUUUCGGCCAAUCCAGUGGCCAAUUCUGCAAUAGCUAGAAUUUAGGACUUCACCAGAAUGAACCCUCCAUCUUUCUUCGGGUCUAAGUUUGAUGAAGACCCUCAGGAGUUCAUUGACCAAGUCCAGAAGGUCAUUGACAUCAUGGGAGUUACUUCUGUUUAGAGCGCCGAGUUAGCCACAUACCAGUUACAGGAUGUUGCUCACACUUGGUACAAAUAGUUGAAGUCUAAGAGGUUAGAGGAUGUAGGUCCUAUAGAGUGGGAGGAAUU